rnacentral:rRNA from 1 species
GACGAACGCUGGCGGCGUGCUUAACACAUGCAAGUCGAACGGAAAGGCCCUGCUUUUGUGGGGUGCUCGAGUGGCGAACGGGUGAGUAACACGUGAGUAACCUGCCCUUUACUUUGGGAUAACUUCAGGAAACUGGGGCUAAUACCGGAUAGGAGCUCCUGCUGCAUGGUGGGGGUUGGAAAGUUUCGGCGGUUGGGGAUGGACUCGCGGCUUAUCAGCUUGUUGGUGGGGUAGUGGCUUACCAAGGCUUUGACGGGUAGCCGGCCUGAGAGGGUGACCGGCCACAUUGGGAACGAGAUACGGCCCAGACUCCUACGGGAGGCAGCAGUGGGGAAUAUUGCAAAAUGGGCGGAAGCCUGAUGCAGCAACGCCGCGUGCGGGAUGACGGCCUUCGGGUUGUAAACCGCUUUCGCCUGUGACGAAGAGUGAGUGACGGUAAUGGGUAAAGAAGCACCGGCUAACUACGUG